UUGACCUCGAAUCAGGUAGGAAUACCCGCUGAACUUAAGCAUAUCAAUAAGCGGAGGAAAAGAAACCAACAGGGAUUGCCCCAGUAACGGCGAGUGAAGCGGCAACAGCUCAAAUUUGAAAUCUGGCCCCUUGGGGCCCGAGUUGUAAUUUGCAGAGGAUACUUUUGGCGAGGCGCCUUCCGAGUUCCCUGGAACGGGACGCCAUAUAGGGUGAGAGCCCCGUCUGGUUGGAUGCCGAGCCUCUGUAAAGUUCCUUCGACGAGUCGAGUAGUUUGGGAAUGCUGCUCUAAAUGGGAGGUAUAUGUCUUCUAAAGCUAAAUAUUGGCCAGAGACCGAUAGCGCACAAGUAGAGUGAUCGAAAGAUGAAAAGCACUUUGGAAAGAGGGUUAAAAAGCACGUGAAAUUGUUGAAAGGGAAGCGCUUGUGACCAGACGUGGGCCUGUCGGAUCAUCCAGCGUUCUCGCUGGUGCACUCCGGCGGGCUCAGGCCAGCAUCAGCUCGUCCCGGGGGACAAAGGCAGCGGGAAUGUGGCUCCUUCGGGAGUGUUAUAGCCCGCUGUGUCAUGCCCUGGGGCGGGCUGAGGUUCGCGCAUCUGCAUGGAUGCUGGCAUAAUGGUUAUCAGCGACCCGUCUUGAAACACGGACCAA
rnacentral:rRNA from 1 species